AUUUUCUUGCGUGCAACGUGUCUCCUCGGACAAUGAGAUCAUCCAUUCAGCUUCAAAUAUGAGGAAACGGCUCAUUGUCACGCUAAUCCCAAAGCCAUGAGCCCCGCACACAUACGCACGUCUCAACUGCUCCAUUAAGCGGCGUGCCGCAAGCGUCGACAGAUAACUUCUUACUGGGGAUAAUCCUGAAGCUCAGUGGAGGCGAGAUCCGUAUCACUUUUGAAAGUAGGCCAAAAGUCUACUUUGCAGCUCUGGGAAGUCGCUAUGAGGAAAACAAGAGGAGGAAUGAAAAGUAAUGUCACAAACGUGAGGACAGAAGUGAAGGCGUGAACAGGAUGGAACUGGACCCGUGCAGCUUGUGGGGUCCGUCCAGUGCAGGAGGCACCUGGCAUCAUUCAUUCAGCACCAAAUUCUCCUUCUCAUGCUUCUGUAUCACUCGUCUGUGCAGGUGAUGGACCUCCCAGAAUUCCCAGACAAAGAUGGCUGACUCAUAAUAAGAAAGAAAAUGCGAGCUGGGAGAGCUUCGGUGGAAGCACAUAACUACAAUUUGUGUGCUAUAGUCUCCUUCGGGAAGAUUACACGUGCGGUAAGUAUGCUCUUAUGUGAAGAAUUGUAAAACAGUAAAUUCCUCUAAUUAAUCCUUGUGCUCAGACGUUCGCACGCUAAGCACCUGACCAAAGAGGUGAUUGCGAAAUAGUUUGCGUUUCUCCAAAAAUGAAAGUAUAUGUAUGAGGUCUCGCUAAACACGUGCUGGUCUGUGUGGAGCCAAUUUACAUAAUAGCUUGGUUUUCUCCACCCACGACUUGGAGGCGAGGCAAAAUUCCAGGUAACUUUUAAAAGACAACAAAUCCAUGAUUGUGUAGUCUUUAAUGGUUUAAAAGGAAGUCAGUCACGUGAGGAGCUGGCACGUUGAGCCUGCUCAUGCGACAUUUUUGACUCCCCAGAUCAUUGCUUGUUUAGGAUCAGCACUCCCAUGUGUGUGUGUACGUCGCUGCUCGGUGUCAGGGCAAGACCAGAGAGGCACCACCUGGAAGUACUUCUCCACAGGUUAAAGGUCAAUGCCUUUGGACCUGACUGACAACGUCUGUAGGCCCAACAAAGUGUAAUCAGAGAAAAGUUUGAGAAGAAAACAUAACAGCCAUGUUUUUAUCCAAAUUUAUUUAUUUACAGCUGUGUUUUUAUUCAAGUUUAUUUAUUCAUUCUUUAUUUUUUCAAGAGUUUUUUUUAGAUAUGUUUCUUGAAUUGAUUUAUUCUAUUUAAAAAAAAAAAAAUCCCCUUUUUUAACCAGACGUAUUUCCAGGAAUCUUUUCCAAUUCCCUGACUUGAUUCUCAAACACACCUGAUAAACUCACCAAUGUCAAUGCGUCGAUUCUGGAAAGAGGUCACCAUGCUUUUUCAACCUUCCAAGCAAAAUCAAAAAGACCCAAGGAUCGACGUGUCUUUAAGAACGUAAGUCCAGAUUGAAGCAAGGUCAGUCAAGCAGCAUGGCAGCUAUUUAGUCUAUUCAUCCACGGCUCCUCAUAACAUCCAACGGGGGGCUCUCGGGCUUCACGUCUCCGCUUAUCAAGGCAUGCCAGACAUUCUCUCCACGCGUGUUUGUGUGCGAUUGAAUACGGCGUACGUUGCCGUGCGUGGAAAUGUUUACGCGUGCAUGCUCGGACCUGAGCGCAGACGUGAGCGUAAACAUGUGAAUUCACCUCCUUAAAAUUCCAAACACUUGUCGUGGCCACAAAAGCAAAACAACGGGAUGGUUUCCUGUUUUGUUCUCGGGGGCCCUUUUGAAAGUGGAGACUCCCCCUCUUUCCAGCAUCCACCUCCUUCCCUCAUUCUUCAGCUUCCCAGGUAAUCAUUAAGUACUUUUCCAUCUUAGAUUACAGCAGCUUUUGGGUCUUAUCUUGUUUUCAAUGAGCAACUUUUGGCAAAUUCCAACAACAUGCUUCCUGUUGUUCACUUUCCAAAGGACAAGUGGUGCUGAAACGGUUGAAGCAUGAAAAAAAAAUGAUAAAAAUGAUCUUGUUUUUUCUUGUGAUUGUUUUUCUUCUAAGAUGAUGCUUGCUUUGUCACGGUUCCCAACCACUCCCGUUAACCCCAAAACAAAUAUGCUCGGUGAAAACGUGACCGUUUUUUUUUUUUUUUUAGGAACGUCCCCAGUAAAUAAACCAAGGAGACGGCAUUAUUGCAACAGCUGAUUGUUCCCCGAGUCAAAACAACACACGCUCACGCCACUGUGGAAUGGCACUGUAAUAACAAACAAUUCUUAUUUUUUGCCAUGAGUGCUUAGACAAUUGGAAUUGCCAGGCAAGGAGUGCGGAAAUAACAGGAACCGUACAGUGGCCCCUGCAGCACACGAGAUAAGAACACGUCUCAAUGUGGAACCAAAGUUGCCUCAUAAAAGUACCGGUCAUGAAUAAACCUAAUAAUAUUCGACUAAUGUCAACUCACACGUAGAGUGGAGCCUCGAGGAUCAACACAGGAUGUUCAUAUUUCAUGUAAUUGUCGCUUUUUUUUUUUUUGAAGGUCAGGUCACAUACCGCGCAUGCCAUGAUCAUUUGACGGAGAUUUCUAGAAGUCAUGAUGAACAGCAAAAUGUCUUUUGUCAGUCUUCACACUGCUUGUAUGUCAUGGAAAAUAUAUGACAACAACUCCUGGAAUGCCGGCUCAUGGUAAAUCCUUUGCUGUGAACGCCCCUACACACACAUACACACACACACGAACGAAAAGGACAUUCGAACGUAAAGGAAAAUGUGCUCAAAUUAGAAUAAAGGCUUGGAAAAUAUGAGUGACAAAAAAAAUCAUUAUCUCUGUCAAAUGUUCAUUAUGUUGUCUUGUUAAAAAAGCGUCUUGUUGUUGGCAAAAUGAAUUCUCUCAAGCAUGCAUCGACUUGCACUCUCAAUUGUUUUAAAUCCUGAUAACAGCUCUUGCGCAAUAGGCCGAAUACUGAUUAAAAGCGCUGAGAAAAACAAAUAAAAACGUAUAUACAACAAGAUACAUCUUGCAAACGCUAAAAGCAGAAUUCAGAUGUCAAUCAUCAUUUUUCUGUGAUUUAUUUAUUGCAGUUUAAAAAAGUUAUGUAACUAGAUUACACUGUGUGUGGCCAUUUCAAAUUCAAAUCGAAAGCUAGGAAAUCGGGUUUUGAAUCUCUGCUACUGAAUGUUACUUGAAUUAUUUAAAUUUAUAUCGCAGUAUACAAUGACCAACACGGCACAAACAGGUUUUUUAAAAUCCUUAAGACCCAUAAAAUCACUCUGCCGUGUCAUUUGAGGGAAUUCAAUCUCUGUGAACUUUGAUGCCCUGAGGACUUUGGUUUAUGAGCCAAAGCAACAUUCCCACCACACCUCACGAGAAGUUCCCCAGCAAUCACAACAACAAACCUGUUCCGUGGAAGUGACUCCAACGAGUAGAAUUAUGUCUGAAUUGAAAAUA